AAUAUUGCGCAAUGGAGGGAACUCUGACGCAGCGACGCCGCGUGAGCGAUGAAGGUUUUCGGAUCGUAAAGCUCUGUCCUUGGGGAAGAAGGUCUUCGGACUUGACGGUACCUAAGGAGGAAGCCCCGGCUAACUACGUGCCAGCAGCCGCGGUAAUACGUAGGGGGCAAGCGUUGUCCGGAAUUAUUGGGCGUAAAGCGCGCGCAGGCGGUCUUUUAAGUCUGAUGUGAAAUCUCGCGGCUCAACCGCGAGCGGUCAUUGGAAACUGGGAGACUUGAGUAUAGGAGAGGAAAGUGGAAUUCCACGUGUAGCGGUGAAAUGCGUAGAGAUGUGGAGGAACACCAGUGGCGAAGGCGACUUUCUGGCCUAUAACUGACGCUGAGGCGCGAAAGCGUGGGGAGCAAAC
rnacentral:rRNA from 1 species